rnacentral:lncRNA from 1 species
AAUAUAAAAAUAUAUGAUGAAUUAAUAAAUAUAAUAAAAGAAAUAGGUAUAUUAAAAUUAAUUUUAUUUAUUUAUGGUACAUUAGCAAGAAGCUCCUCUAUAUUUAUUUUAAGUACUUUUGCUUCAUAUUUUCAUACAGAUAUUAAUAUAAUAAAAAUUAAUAUAUAUAAUUUUAUUUUUUACAUUCUUAACAUGUAUUUUUAUUUAAAAAAUGAAUUGAAUGAAUAUUUAAAAACUGGUAGUAAAUCACCUCCUGUUAAAGAUAAUUUCAGUUUUAUAAAAUGUAAUAUGUAUUUAAAUAUGUUACCAAAUCUUGUAAACAAAAAUGAAUCAUUUAUAUCUUCUAUAUUUUCUGAAAAAGAAGUUAAUGGCAAUGCAUAUAAUGUAUGGCAAAAAUUAUGUCUAUUUUUUAGUUCCUAUACAUUUCUUUUUGCAACUAUAUUUAAUGUUAUUAUGCAAUUAUUUGGACCUAUUACUAUAGUAAAUGAUGUAACAAGUUAUGAAUACGAAUCAGAUCGUGAAGAAACAAAAAUAUAUACAUACAAAUCAUUAGUUAAAGCUUAUGGAAAAUGUAAUUUAAAAAUUAAUUCUAAUAAUAAAAAAUCAUAUACAUCUUCUUUUCAGUCACAAAAAACUAAAGCAAAUUUAAAAAAAUCUAACAAUUAUUUUAUUUCUGAUGAAGAUUUUAUAGUAGAAAAUGAUACAAUGAUAAAAAAAAAAAAAAAUCAACAAAUUAGAGGAACAAGAUAGUUAUUGUAUUAGUAGUUCUUUUAAUCAAAUGGAUAUCAACAAUUGGCAAUUAAAUACAGUAGAUACUAUUGAAAAUAACAAAUGUAACAAUAAAUAUAACAGUGCUAAUGAACAUGUUAAAAAAAAAAAUUACCCAUAUACACAGUUGGAUACUGUAAAACAAAGAAAACAAUUUUUAAAAAACAAAACAGUCAGUUUUAAAAAUGUUAACAGAAACGGUAGUAACAGUAGUGGCAGUAACAGUAGCGGUAGUAACAGAAACGGUAGUAACAGAAACGGUAGUAACAGAAACGGUAGUAACAGAAACGGUAGUAACAGAAACGGCAGUAACAGAAACGGUAGUAACAGUAGCGGUAGUAACAGAAACGGUAGUAACAGAAACGGUAGAAACAGAAACGGUAGAAACAGAAACGGUAGUAACAGAAACGGUAAUAACAGAAACGGUAAUAACAGAAACGGUAGUAACAGAAACGGCAGUAACAGAAACGGCAGUAACAGAAACGGUAGUAACAGUAGCGACAGUAACAGUAGCGGCAGUAACAGUAGCGGCAAUAACAGUAGCGGCAGUAACAACGAUAAAAAGGUAAAACCAGAAUAUUUUUCAGAAAAUGAAUUAACGACAACAGGAACCGAUAUAUAUGAUAAAUGGAACACGAACAACAUGGGAAGUAUGAAUAAAGAAAAAAAUAUUUUAAAAAUUAAUAAAAAAAAUGCAAUUAAACAGAAUAAAAAAUGCGUUACAAAUACAAUAACCACAUUUUCUUCCCCCCAAUCUAAAACUGAAUUUAAUUAUAAGGAUAAGUCUAAUAUUACUUAUGUCUCUUUUAUUAGUAGCUCUUUCUCAGAUAGUCAAUUUGAUUAUGUUUACUCUGGGCAUAAUCAUUCAUUUAAUUAUAUCUCAAAUAACAAUUCAAAAGGUUAUAAAAAAAAAAAAGAAAAAAAGAAUAAAGUUUCAAGGUCAAGGUCAAGAGAUGGGACGAAAGAUAGUGAUUCUUUUAUGAGUAAUGUUAGUGAUAAAACAAUUAACUUAGGUAAUAAACGAGAAAUGACAUAUAAAGGUUAUAAAAGUUAUAGUAAUACAACAGUUACUAGUAUUAAUACGUAUAAUAAAACUAAAAUUAUUAAUACACAUAAAAAUUUUGAAAAAUUAGGAGGAGAACAAAAUUAUUUUAAAAGAUUGUUUAAUAAAAGAAAAAAUUUAAAAAAAAUUGGAGUAUUUGUUUUGUUUUUAAUUAUUUUUAUUUUUAAUGUAUUACAUAUUUUAGAUUUUAAAAGGAAUAAAAAUAUAGUUAGUGAAAUAGUAUUAAAUAAUUUAUAUAGAAGUUAUUUAAUUUUUAUAAUAUCAAUACCAAUUAUUUAUGCCUCUUGGUUUUUUGGAUUCAAAGAACAAAUAUCUCAAUGUGGGAUUAUAUCUACAAGUUUACAUUGUUUGGCAUGGGUAGUUAUAUUUCCAUACACUAUUUUAAAAAAUACAUUCGGAAGUCCAAAGUAUUCUUUAAUAAUUUUAUUAUUUUUUAAUUUAUUUACUAUAGUUAUUUCUUUGAUUGAAAUACAUAAAAAAUUGAGGUUAAGGAAAUUACAAGCAUAUAAAUAUGAUAAUAAUAUUAAGAGGUUGGUAACAAGUCAGCAUAGUCAAGAACAUGAAUACGGGAAUGAUCAUAUGUAUGAAUACGAAGGUGGGUACAAAAAUGGGCAAAUAAAUUGGCAAAACAAUGAUCCCAAAAAUGAACAGAUUUACAAAUCUAAAAAAAAUAAUAAUUUAAAAGCAGUUAACACUAUUAAAACAUCAGAGAUGAGUAAUUCCAUAAAUGGUGUUAACCAAAAAAUAAAUAUGGAUAACACUGAUAGUGUAGAAAAUAUAGAAACGUUUUAUAUCAAGUACAACAAUAUAUUAAACAAAAAUAAUAAUAUUGUUAUUUUUAAAAAAUGUCUAUAUUGGUUAUACGUAGGAAAUAUAGAUAUCUUACGUAAAAAUAUAAAUGUAGCCAUGUCAGGAAAAGUAAACGUAUAUAUUCCAUUUUUGUGGAAUAUUUUGUUUAAAUAUAUAAAUUCACCUAGCCUAAUUAUAAUUUUUUUUUUUAAUACUAACACAUACUUUUUAAAAUUGAUUGACCACCUUGAGCCAUCCUUUAGUUUUGUAAUUGAAAUUGUUUCAGUUUUGCUUAUAGUUGUAUAUUGUUCGAUUAUUCUGAUCAGAAAUUUCUUCAAAUAUAACUAUAUGCCACAGAAUAUUGGGAUACCCUCUUUCCCGAUGUUUUGCUAUGACAGGAAGAAGUAUAUUUUUGUUGGAUAAGUUAAUCGCGCAUUAUUUAUCAUU